rnacentral:sRNA from 1 species
GGGAGGGAGGCCAGCGGGCCGGCGGGGUCCGCCCCGACCCCAACCACGACCCCGACUCCUAUCCGAUCCUAUCCCCGGCUCCGCUCGGGCCUUUCCCCUUGCGCCCUGGCUCGGCUGGCUCGACGAGCAGUAAGUUCGUAGCCGCCCUCCGAAGCCGGGCGUGCAUGGGAUGGCAGAGUUGGCGUGCGUGCUUGAGUCCACCAGUGUGGCAUGGGCAUGUAAGGUGCGCGGAGGGACUGCACCUUCUCCAUCAGGUGCAGAAGGUGCGUUUUUGCAAGACUGCGCACUCACACGACCAUUGAGAGGCUCACUUUGCAGUGGCCCUCCCAGGCCCUCCGUGGUUGGGUGUCCGUCUUUGUCAGAAAAGGGCCAGCAGGGGGCACCAAACCCGCACGUUUCUGCCGGGAGAGGGCGUCUGGGCCACGUCAUGCUGAACAAGAGCCGAGAAGUAGAAUCGCCAGUGUCAAGCCGUCCACGUUGUGGGAUGCCCACUGUUCCCCCAGGAUCACUCAAGACCCUGUGACUUGUGGUCACUGAUGAGUGGACCAAGUGAAGUCCACAAGAUGGCUGCUGUGGCUCCAGGCAUCACGUCCACAUGCAAAUCCAUCCAGAGGCAGGAACUGGGAAUAGGCUUGGAGGUGGCCAGGACAGCAAGUGGGCUGUCUGUAUAAACCUCCCCUCCACUUGGGAAGGAAAAUCACCCCCCAAGUCGAUUUUCUGUCCAUCUUAUUGAUCAGAGACCGUUAUAAAUUCACCCAUUAAAUAAUCUGGACAAGGG